ACGAAGGAUGCAAGUGUUAUCCGGAUUCAUUGGGUUUAAAGGGAGCGUAGGUGGUCUGCUAAGUCAGUGGUGAAAGCCGGUCGCUUAACGAUCGAAUUGCCAUUGAUACUGGCGGACUUGAGUGCAGAUGCCGUUGGCGGAAUAUGACAUGUAGUGGUGAAAUACAUAGAGAUGUCAUAGAACACCGAUUGCGAAGGCAGCUAACGAAACUGUAACUGACACUGAGGCUCGAAAGUGUGGGGAUCAAACAGGA
rnacentral:rRNA from 1 species